GCAGCCGCGGUAAUACGUAGGUGGCGAGCGUUAUCCGGAUUUAUUGGGCGUAAAGCGUCCGCAGACGGCUUGUUAAGUCUAGAAUCAAAGCCCGGAGCUUAACUUCGGUUCGUUCUAGAAACUGGCAGGCUUGAGUAUAGUAGAGGCAAGUGGAAUUUCUAGUGUAGCGGUAGAAUGCGUAGAUAUUAGAAGGAACACCAGUGGCGAAGGCGACUUGCUGGGCUAUUACUGACGUUCAUGGACGAAAGCGUGGGGAGCAAAUAGGAUUAGAUACCCC
rnacentral:rRNA from 1 species